UACGUAGGGCGCAAGCGUUAUCCGGAAUUAUUGGGCGUAAAGAGCUCGUAGGCGGUUUGUCGCGUCGGGAGUGAAAACUCAGGGCUUAACCCUGAGCCUGCUUCCGAUACGGGCAGACUAGAGGUAUGCAGGGGAGAAUGGAAUUCCUGGUGUAGCGGUGAAAUGCGCAGAUAUCAGGAGGAACACCGGUGGCGAAGGCGGUUCUCUGGGCAUUACCUGACGCUGAGGAGCGAAAGUGUGGGGAGCGAACAGG
rnacentral:rRNA from 1 species